UACGUAGGGUCCGAGCGUUGUCCGGAAUUACUGGGCGUAAAGAGCUCGUAGGCGGUUUGUCGCGUCUGCUGUGAAAACCCGAGGCUCAACCUCGGGCCGCAGUGGGUACGGGCAGACUAGAGUACUGCAGGGGAGACUGGAAUUCCUGGUGUAGCGGUGAAAUGCGCAGAUAUCAGGAGGAACACCGGUGGCGAAGGGCGGGACUCUGGGCCGAUACUGACGCUGAGGAGCGAAAGCGUGGGGAGCAAACAGG
rnacentral:rRNA from 1 species